UACGUAGGUGGCAAGCGUUGUCCGGAAUUAUUGGGCGUAAAGCGCGCGCAGGCGGUCCUUUAAGUCUGAUGUGAAAGCCCACGGCUCAACCGUGGAGGGUCAUUGGAAACUGGGGGACUUGAGUACAGAAGAGAAGAGUGGAAUUCCACGUGUAGCGGUGAAAUGCGUAGAGAUGUGGAGGAACACCAGUGGCGAAGGCGGCGACCUGGGCCAAUAUUGACGCUGAGGUGCGAAAGCGUGGGGAGCAAACAGG
rnacentral:rRNA from 1 species